GGUGUCAUAUGGGUGACAUCACUCCCCCAGCUAGCCAAUGGCUGGGGGCCGGCUCCGCCCAUCUUCCUUUAUUAACUCGGAGGCCCCGCCCCUCCACCCCGCCCUCCGGGCUGCUUUGCAAAGAUGGGGGUGGGGGGAGAGGAGGCAUGUCUAGAAAUAUGUUAUUUUUAAAAAAUCCGCGUGUGUGCACAGAUGCGCCUGUUCCCGGGAUGCUCGGAAGCGGCGCGCGGCACCACGGGGAGCGGGCGGCCCGGGGCGAACCGGGAUGGUUCGGGCGCCGGCGCUAACCGAGGACCGGGUCCCGGGAGAGGCCCCGCGCGCCUUUGUGCCCAGUCCCCGGGAGGCCCGACGGCGACAGCGGACGGCGCGCGCUCACUCCCCGGGUGCACACACUCGGGCACGCGCCCAGCCUGAGACGGCGGCCUCCGCCCGGCUCGCGGUCAGCCGCGCCCGGCCUGCCCCGGGGUGGGCGCAGCUGCUCCCCGGCGAGCCCCUCGCGGGGCUCGGCCGCUCCCCCGGGUCGCCGCCCCGAGCCCGCCCGGUAGCCCCGCGGCGGCCCUGGCCGACGGAAGGUGGCGCUUGAAGACAGCAACCUUCCCGGCACGUGGGCUCUGCUCUCCUUUUCCCUUUCUCCCUUUUUGUAAGGCAAAGAAAUCAAUUUAAAGCUCGAGAGGCGGUGAGCUCCCUCCCCCGUUUUGCAUUUUUCUGUUUUGUCCUUUUUCUCCGUCUGUUUUCCCUCCUCGGUGGUGUUUGGGGACGCGGCUGUGCGGGUUGGGCUGCGCCGCGCCCCCGCGCGCCCCGCCCCGGGCGGGGGCCGGAGUAACGGUCUGCGGGGCCCUCGGGUUCAAGCUGGCCACUCCCAGGGCUGGCUCCGGAGCGGGCUCUGGGUCCCGCAGGCUCCAGCAAGCCCGCGCCCCGCCCGGCGUCCCUGCGAGGGGCCCGGCGCCCUCCUUCCCUUCUCCCUCUGCUCCCCGCCCCUCCUCUCCCCGCCCCGUCCUCUCCCCGCCCCUCCGCCGCUCCUUUCUCCUUCCCAGGCCUCCUCUUCCUCUUUGUCCUUCCCCCAUCCUCGGUCGCCAGCGCUUCUCCGGCAGCCUCGUCCUGAAAUCGUGCGAUUGUGAGCUAGAAGCCUUCUGGGUCACUCAUAAACCAAAGAGAAAAUAAGGUGCACUCGAGUUUCCCGUCUAAAUAUUUUCCCUGGAGAUGGAAAGGUGCGCUGGCGGCCGGGGAGCCGCGACCUGGGGCGCGCUGGGCCUCGCAGAGCAGCCGCGGACCCCGGCGAUCGUGCCGUGUUCGUCUCCUUUGUGUUUCUUUAUUGAGUCCCUACUACCUCUACGGAUAUUCUGGGGGCAAUUAAAGAAAAUCACCGCUUCAUAGGUAUGGUCUGUCGCCACCCUCGCCUUCUCCACACCCCCCAGCACUGGGUAUCUGGGAACUUUGAGCAGUUCCUAAGACACUGCCCGGAUCCCUUCACCAGAGAAAUCAGCCGUGUAGGACUGGGAAAAUUAUCCGAAUCUGCUUCCUUUCAGGUGCCCUCCUGCAAUUAAUACUACAUUUCUUAAGUAUUGGAUCUUCUCUGAGGAUUCUAAUAUCAUAAAAUAAUACCGUGUUUUACACAGAUCAUGAUUUGAAAAAAUUACCGCCAUUGCGAUAAGCCAUUCCCGCCCCCGUCCCCCACUUCCCCGACUCAUCCUAAAGAAAAACACUGCAUCGAAUACUUGGAAUAUUCAGACCAACUUAAAUCUUGAUAAUGCUGGCAAUUUAUUCUUUCCAGGGCCAUAGGAACCAAAAGAAUUUACAGUCAUUCAUACUGGGUGACUUAAAGUCUGGAGAUGUAUAAAAUCCAAGGCAGUGUGUGAAAACUCAUCUUCACUCCCGCACGGCGAGCACUAGGUCUUGUUUUUCUCUUACAGCUCACACGUUUUUCAGCUAUUGGGAACACCACCGGAGGGAGGGUGGGGUGGAGCACAAGGUGAACCUACACCCACCUCCCCACAACUGCAGGACAAAUCCACACUCUAGAGAAAAGGAUUGAAAUAUUUCAGCUCAGCUUCAUUAUUUGCUUGCAAAGUGUGAGGGCACCUACCAUUUGGGCCUCGGAAAGAGAAUGCAUUUGAAAAUCUUUGGCAAAUUCCAUAUUGAUUUGCUAUCUUUACGCUAUAGCAAAAAUCAUGCUUAGCUUUAAAAUGAGAAUGAUCUGAAUAUAGUAGGAGUGAAAAAUAAUAGAUUUUAUUCUCAUAGCGCUGCGAUCUUUUUAGAGGAAAUAAAAGUUAAAAUCUGCUCUUUCGAACAAGAAAUAUAAUUUCUGUUCAAGGCAACAUGAGCCGUUUGUUGGAGAAGAUAAAGCAAAGAUUGGGAUUGCUAAAGCAGGCACUGAAGGCGGCACAGGCGGGUGCUACAGCUGAAUCCCCCCUGUCAUGUAGGAGAGGCCAGGCAAUUUUCACAAGAGAUUAACUAGAUUGCUAUUUUGUAGCAUGGACUCACCCCACAUACUUAAUGUUGUUAGACGUAGUCGAGUGAGGAAUGAAAAAAAUGAUAAUCUGUAUACUUUAUUUUUGCUCCCUAAGGGAAAAUUUUUAAAUAAGUAUAGCAUUUAAAAAAAAAUAUGGGAACAUGUUUGAGAGUACGCAUGCUUCUUACAGGAAUAAUAGUUACUUCUGAAAACAGAUGUUUGCGCCAUUAACAGUAACCAACUAUUUAGAGAAAUUUUAGGCUACCAAAUAGAAAAUAUAGCCUUUAAUAAUGCACCUCUUGAAAACCUAAUUUAGUAAAAUGGAAAUAGGUCUACUGUUUUUUAAGCCACUGAAUGUAUAUCAUAAUUAGGAUCAUUGGUUAUCUUUUUAGAGCCAAUAUUCACUCAUUUUUGUGUGUGUCUGUCUAUAUACUUAUUUAUAAGCAAGAUAUGUAGUUUGUUUGUUAACCAUAAACAUUGUUGGAUACAUAAUGUUCAGAAUCUUAAGAGUCACAUCUGAUUAGAGGCACAAAUGACUAUUUUUAUGGUGAUUUUUACCUUUUCAUAAUUCCAUCUUUACAAAGAAAAUGUCACGUAAAAGGACUAUUACAUAAAGAGAUGAGAUAUUUCACGAUAUCUCUCAAAAUUAUAACACAGCCAGAGUAAGAAGUGUCCCUUUUUCUUAGGAAAGAAGCAUUUUUCUAAGCAAAUAAUAUGCUAAAAAUAUCACUGGGUAAAUAUUUGACUUAUCUGAUGGAUUGACCACCAUUUUUAGAAGUAUUGCAACCACAUGCAUUCCCCAUCUCUGAAAUGAAGUUAUAAGGCAGCACAUAUUUCCCAUAGAAAUGUGGAAUGUAAGAAAGGCACAUAAAGCAAUCCAAGUUGCCUGCAGAUAUCCACAGCCUACUUCAGUCUCAGUAAUGCUCUUUUAACCUGGCUAUAUGGAGAGUUGACAGAAAAUACAGGAUCAUCAAUCAAUGAUACAGUAAAUACAGAAUUCCUCACAGAUGAUGAAUGUUGUCCUUCAGCGUCUGUGGUCACUUCCACCUUUAACUAAAGUUGGAGUUGGAAGAAAGGCAAUGUGACUCCAAACUUCACAGUACCUCCAUCUUAGACAAACACGACUCUCUCCUUCACCUGCGUGCCAGCUGAGGGAGUUCUGUUCCAUUGCUGUCUCCGGGGACUCUGUCAGUAUAUUUGAUGUAAUACUUGUUUCUGUCCAUAAAACAUGUGAUGAUGAGAAGAUCGCAGUGCAGAUCCAAAAUCAUAUGCUCACUGCAGGCUUGGACUCCCUGCUGGAUGUUGUGUACGUGGAGGGCUCCUGCUUAUGCCACUAGGACAAAAUGACCGCUUUUGCUUAAGAGAUAUAGUUCCUACUGAUUUUUAUAAUUCCAUUAAGAGUCAAUCUUGUUUGGAAUGGGUUCAAUCCUUGCUACUGUCAUUCCAAUAGGAUUUGUUCAAGAAUCUAGGAUAUUUUGAUUAUUUACAGCAUAUUCCACAUUAAACCAGAAAAGAGAACCAUUUAUCUGUAUAUUAUUUCAGAUCACUAUGUGUCUUAGUAUUUUCUGAUAGGGAGUAUCAAUAUCCUUUAAUCAUUCAUUCACUUAUUUAUUUGUUAAAUAAAUGCUUAUUAAAUGUGUGUUCUGUCCCAGCCACCAUGUUCAGAAAAUUAAUGAAAAAACAUGGUUUCUACUUCAGUUCAACCCACAUGUAGAGUCAUGUAUUAUGUGACAGACAUUGGUUUCAGUGUUGAGGACAUAGAGGGGAAAACUCAGAAUUCAUGCCUCACAGAACUCAUAAUUCUGUUGGGUGAAACACAUACACACAUAGAACAUGUUAAACAUGAAUAUAGCAAUUAAAAAGAAACACUAUAGGAUAUUUUAGAGAAUAACUUCAUUUAAGAAUUACUUUCCAGUAUUUUCCACAAAGCAGAUAUGCUCAUUUUGAAAGGAAA
rnacentral:lncRNA from 10 species